CCCGCCGCUUGCGCCGGGGCCGGGGCGCCCUUCCGGCGGCGAGGGUGGCGGCCUCGGGCGCCGGCCCGCCGACCGUUCCGUAUCGCUCGCGCCGGGU
rnacentral:tRNA from 1 species